rnacentral:rRNA from 1 species
GUUGGAGAGUUUGAUCCUGGCUCAGGACGAACGCUGGCGGCGCGCCUAAUCCAUGCAAGUCGAGCGACGCAUUCUUUGCCCGUAAGGGCGGGUUUGACGGAGCGGCGAACGGGUGCGUAACACGUGACCAAUCUGCCCCGAAGACCGGGAUAGCCCGGGGAAACCCGGAUUAAUACCGGAUAAUCUCAUCAUCACGCAUGUGAAGGUGAGCAAAGGUUCAGGCGCUUCGGGAUGAGGUCGCGGCCCAUCAGCUAGUUGGUGAGGUAACGGCUCACUCAAGGCAAUGACGGGUAGCUGGUCUGAGAGGACGAUCAGCCACACUGGAACUGAGACACGGUCCAGACUCCUACGGGAGGCAGCAGGAGGGAAUCUUGCGCAAUGGGCGAAAGCCUGACGCAGCGACGCCGCGUGGGGGAUG